GCUGGAAAAAUUUAUCUAAAUCACAUUCGAGGAACAGUGAGAUUACACCAGUCUUCUCCUGAUUCAUCAAACCAGUCACCGAACAACACAACUCCCAACAAUGGUUUGGCAUCAGGUUGCACUACCAGUCCAUCAGCUGUUAACAAUGGUGGUACCCCAAAUAGAAAUGAUAC